ensembl:lncRNA
AUGGCUUGUGCGGUGGACGACCGCGUCAAAGUCGCAGCCAGUGGAUGCGUUGACCACAGUGCAGCCAGGACGGACAACUGCGAAUCACCCGAUAUUGAAGGACCGCAUGCAGUGUGCAGCGCGACCAGAGCCGACAGACUGAAACCCAGUCUCUUGGAAAACAGAGGUGGCUGUGGCGUGUUUUCUCGAACGUCUCUCAGCAUGUGUCUUCCUCACUCCAGAACGCUGCCGCAGCUCACGGACCUCUUAAAGUCUUCUUUUGAACUCGGGUGCAAUAUAAAUAAAGAGCUGAUGGAAACCCUCAGCAGUGAGAAGCUACCUUGGCAUCAUCUAUGGAGGAGGCCUUACCUGAGAGCGGAGGCUGGAAAGGACAUGCCCACAGCCGUGCCCGUCUGUGGCCUGGGUACCGUUCUCCCCCAAAUUCUGGACCCACACGGAUCCCAAGACCUCCUGGAGGAACACUCUUCUAAUACUACGGACCUGUCUGCACAUGGCGGUGGACGUGUUCCUGGAGGGUUUAUUUCCGCUCUGGAUGGAAAAGUCCAGUUGAGAGAGAGAGAGGUUGUGAAAACAGGAGAUGGAAGAAAUAAUUAACAGAAGGAAUGCGUUGCCUGAAAAGACCCGAUACCAACUGAGACCUGUAAAAUUUUCUGCAGUGGUUUCACCUUCACACUCAAUGCUGAGCUCUUUCUGCAUCUGCAGAAUCCGAAUUCCCGUUUCCAAACCACCUACACCUCUAAGAUUGGAAGUUGGUGAUAUUUGAUGGGAACUUCCAAUGUUUUUCUUCUUUUUUCUUAAUAACAAAGAGAAAAUAGCCUUAGGUAUUUAUUGCCGUUUUUAUGGGCUCUCUUAAAUUGAGGUACAAUUUCAACAUUAAAUUGUACACAUGACAUUAUAUUCGCUUCAGGUGCACAACUUAAUGAUUCGAUAACUGUGUACAUUGCAAGUCGAUCAUCACAACCUGUAUAGUUCAUAUUGGUCAGCGUGCACAGUUACCAAAAAUGUUUUUCUCGGGGGGAGGACUCUUAAGGUCCACUCUCUUGCAGCUUUCCAAUAUGCAACACCAUGUCAUUGACUGUGCUUUAUAUCCCAUCACCAUGCCCUCUUUAUUUCACAAUGGGAAGUUUGUACCUUUUGACUGCCUUCAGCCCAUUUGACCCAUUUCUAGCUGACCCGGUCACAUGUCUGCCGGAGGUCAUCACGAGACCGGCAGGGGCAGCCUCUUGGGAGACCUGUUUUGACUCUCCGUCCUUCUGGCUGACAGAUUUCCUGGUGGUCUGGGUAGUUUCGCAGUGGUCGUCCUUCCCCUUGAAUCACAACCCAAAGGUUAACAAGUCCCUUGCUCUUUAACAGCUGGUAUAAACUGUACUUGCAGUGGCUCAGGACUGGGAGUCCAGGUGAAUGCUCUUCCCAUGUAAGGACGUGUGUGUGCAGAGGGGGCUGGUGAUAAGCCCCCCCCUGCCCCGCCCCGUGGCUAGAACUCGCUCCUGCAUGUUGACACCUGGCUCUGAGUUUAAGGGGGAGAAUCCGCUGGAUGGGAGUAAAGGGUCAGGACACGUAAGAGGAGAAAGAACAUUUUCAAAGACGUCAGACA